AUCGGCCGCGCGAGCGCGAUCCGGGAGCCUGCCGUUCGUACGCCGGCGGCGGGCCGCCCGGCGCAGCGCCGCCCGGCCCAAUUCUCCGUUGCGCGUAGCGCGCGAAUCGUCAGUGCGGGGCGCGCGCUGCCAGCGCGCUUCGGAACGGGUCGAGGCGAGAGCGCGACCGUCGCUACCCGAAAGAUGGUGAUCUAUUCCCGAGAAGGGCGAAGCCGGGGGAAACCCCGGUGGAGGCCCGUAGCGGUUCUGACGUGCAAAUCGAUCGCGCUACUCGGGUAUAGGGGCGAAAGACUCAUCGAACCAUCUAGUAGCUGGUUCCCUCCGAAGUUUCCCUCAGGAUAGCCGGCGCGCGAGUCGUUGCACACGCAUACAAAGCUGUCGCGCGGCCAUACGAGCCGCGGCUUUUUCGGUAAAGCGAACGACUAGAGGAAAUUCCGGGGCCACGCCGACCUCGACCUAUUAUCGAACUUUAAAUGGG
rnacentral:rRNA from 1 species